UACGUAGGGCGCAAGCGUUGUCCGGAAUUAUUGGGCGUAAAGAGCUCGUAGGCGGUUUGUCGCGUCUGCUGUGAAAGCCCGGGGCUCAACCCCGGGUCUGCAGUGGGUACGGGCAGACUAGAGUGCAGUAGGGGAGACUGGAAUUCCAUGGUGUAGGCGGUGAAAAUGGCGCAGAUAUCAAGGAGGACACCGAUGGCGAAGGCAGGUCUCUGGGCUGAUUACUGACGCUGGAGGAGCGAAAGCAUGGGGAGCGA
rnacentral:rRNA from 1 species